GCCAUUUGUUUCUCAUGAAGGUCUCGAGAAGUUGCAUCGCUUCAUAUUCGUAAUGGCAAUCACGCAUCUAGCUUACAGUUGCUUAACGAUGUUACUUGCAAUCGUGAAGAUUCAUAGAUGGAGGGCAUGGGAGGAGGAAGCUCAUACGGACCAACAUGGAUUUUUAACUGCACAAGCUAAAGAAGCGCUAAUGCGAAGACAAACAGCUAUCGUUGUACACC